rnacentral:rRNA from 1 species
UACGUAGGGUGCAAGCGUUGUCCGGAAUUAUUGGGCGUAAAGAGCUCGUAGGCGGUCUGUCGCGUCUGCUGUGAAAACCUGGGGCUUAACCCCGGGCCUGCAGUGGGUACGGGCAGACUAGAGUGCGGUAGGGGAGACUGGAAUUCCUGGUGUAGCGGUGAAAUGCGCAGAUAUCAGGAGGAACACCGGUGGCGAAGGCGGGUCUCUGGACCGGUUCUGACGCUGAUGCGCGAAAGCUAGGGGAGCAAACAGG